rnacentral:rRNA from 1 species
AUUGAACGCUGGCGGCAUGCCUUACACAUGCAAGUCGAACGGCAGCACGGAGCUUGCUCUGGUGGCGAGUGGCGAACGGGUGAGUAAUAUAUCGGAACGUACCCUAGAGUGGGGGAUAACGUAGCGAAAGUUACGCUAAUACCGCAUACGAUCUAAGGAUGAAAGUGGGGGAUCGCAAGACCUCAUGCUCGUGGAGCGGCCGAUAUCUGAUUAGCUAGUUGGUAGGGUAAAAGCCUACCAAGGCAUCGAUCAGUAGCUGGUCUGAGAGGACGACCAGCCACACUGGAACUGAGACACGGUCCAGACCCCUACGGGAGGCAGCAGUGGGGAAUUUUGGACAAUGGGCGAAAGCCUGAUCCAGCAAUGCCGCGUGAGUGAAGAAGGCCUUCGGGUUGUAAAGCUCUUUUGUCAGGGAAGAAACGGUGGGAGCUAAUAUCUCUUGCUAAUGACGGUACCUGAAGAAUAAGCACCGGCUAACUACGUGCCAGCAGCCGCGGUAAUACGUAGGGUGCAAGCGUUAAUCGGAAUUACUGGGCGUAAAGCGUGCGCAGGCGGUUUUGUAAGUCCGAUGUGAAGUCCCCGGGCUCAACCUGGGAACUGCAUUGGAGACUGCAAGGCUAGAAUCUGGCAGAGGGGGGUAGAAUUCCACGUGUAGCAGUGAAAUGCGUAGAUAUGUGGAGGAACACCGAUGGCGAAGGCAGCCCCCUGGGUCAAGAUUGACGCUCAUGCACGAAAGCGUGGGGAGCAAACAGGAUUAGAUACCCUGGUAGUCCACGCCCUAAACGAUGUCUACUAGUUGUCGGGUCUUAAUUGACUUGGUAACGCAGCUAACGCGUGAAGUAGACCGCCUGGGGAGUACGGUCGCAAGAUUAAAACUCAAGGGAAUUGACGGGGACCCGCACAAGCGGUGGAUGAUGUGGAUUAAUUCGAUGCAACGCGAAAAACCUUACCUACCCUUGACAUGGCUGGAAUCCUUGAGAGAUCAGGGAGUGCUCGAAAGAGAACCAGUACACAGGUGCUGCAUGGCUGUCGUCAGCUCGUGUCGUGAGAUGUUGGGUUAAGUCCCGCAACGAGCGCAACCCUUGUCAUUAGUUGCUACGAAAGGGCACUCUAAUGAGACUGCCGGUGACAAACCGGAGGAAGGUGGGGAUGACGUCAAGUCCUCAUGGCCCUUAUGGGUAGGGCUUCACACGUCAUACAAUGGUACAUACAGAGCGCCGCCAACCCGCGAGGGGGAGCUAAUCGCAGAAAGUGUAUCGUAGUCCGGAUUGUAGUCUGCAACUCGACUGCAUGAAGUUGGAAUCGCUAGUAAUCGCGGAUCAGCAUGUCGCGGUGAAUACGUUCCCGGGUCU